AAGGCUGCAGGGAGACAUGGGGACACUGAGACACUAGGGGACACUGUGAGACAUGGGGACACAGGGAGACCUCUGGGGAUGCUGAGACACUUGGGGACACUUGGAGACAUGGGGACACAAACACAUGGGGACACUGAGACACUAGGGGACACUGUGAGACAUGGGGACACAGGGAGACAUGGAGACACAGACACACAUGGGAAAAC